GGCGAAAUCCCACGGGCUCAAACCGUGGGGCUUGCUGGGGAUACUGCGGGCCUUGGGACCGGGACAGGCCGGGGGUACCCCUGGGGUAGGGGUGAAAUCCUAUAAUCCCAGGGGGACCGCCAGUGGCGAAGGCGCCCGGCUGGAACGGGUCCGACGGUGAGGGACGAAGGCCAGGGGAGCGAACCGGAUUAGAUACCCGGGUAGUCCUGGCUGUAAAGGAUGCGGGCUAGGUGUCGGGCGAGCUUCGAGCUCGCCCGGUGCCGAAGGGAAGCCGUUAAGCCC
rnacentral:rRNA from 1 species